rnacentral:rRNA from 1 species
UGGGGAAUAUUGCACAAUGGGCGCAAGCCUGAUGCCGCCAUGCCGCGUGUAUGAAGAAGGCCUUCGGGUUGUAAAGUACUUUCAGCGGGGAGGAAGGGAGUAAAGUUAAUACCUUUGCUCAUUGACGUUACCCGCAGAAGAAGCACCGGCUAACUCCGUGCCAGCAGCCGCGGUAAUACGGAGGGUGCAAGCGUUAAUCGGAAUUACUGGGCGUAAAGCGCACGCAGGUGGUUUGUUAAGUCAGAGGUGAAAUCCCCGGGGUAAACCUGGGAACUGCAUCUGAUACUGGCAAGCUUGAGUAUCGUAGAGGGGGGUAGAAUUCCAGGUGUAGCGGUGAAAUGCGUAGAGAUCUGGAGGAAGACCGGUGGCGAAGGCGGCACCCUGGACGAAGACUGACGCUCAGGUGCGAAAGGGUGGGGAGCAAACAGG